UACGUAGGUGGCAAGCGUUGUCCGGAAUUACUGGGUGUAAAGGGAGCGUAGGCGGGAUGCCAAGUCAGCGGUAAAAAUGCGGUGCUCAACGCCGUCGAGCCGUUGAAACUGGCGUUCUUGAGUGGGCGAGAAGUAUGCGGAAUGCGUGGUGUAGCGGUGAAAUGCAUAGAUAUCACGCAGAACUCCGAUUGCGAAGGCAGCAUACCGGCGCCCUACUGACGCUGAGGCACGAAAGCGUGGGUAUCGAACAGG
rnacentral:rRNA from 1 species